CCUACGGGAGGCAGCAGUGAGGAAUAUUGGUCAAUGGGCGCGAGCCUGAACCAGCCAAGUAGCGUGAAGGAUGAAUGCCCUACGGGUUGUAAACUUCUUUUAUAAGGGAAUAAAGUGAGGCACGUGUGCCUUUUUGUAUGUACUUUAUGAAUAAGGAUCGGCUAACUCCGUGCCAGCAGCCGCGGUAAUACGGAGGAUCCGAGCGUUAUCCGGAUUUAUUGGGUUUAAAGGGAGCGUAGAUGGGUUGUUAAGUCAGGUGUGAAAGUGUGCGGCUCAACCGUAAAAUUGCAAUUGAUACUGGCAGGCUGGAGUACAGUUGAGGUAGGCGGAAUGCGUGGUGUAGCGGUGAAAUGCUUAGAUAUCACGAAGAACUCCGAUUGCGAAGGCAGCUUACUAAACUGCCACUGACAUUGAUGCUCGAAAGUGUGGGUAUCAAACAGGAUUAGAUACCCGAGUAGUC
rnacentral:rRNA from 1 species